rnacentral:rRNA from 1 species
AGAGCGAACGCUGGCGGCAGGCUUAACACAUGCAAGUCGAGCGCCCCGCAAGGGGAGCGGCAGACGGGUGAGUAACGCGUGGGAACGUACCUUUGGUUCGGAACAACACAGGGAAACUUGUGCUAAUACCGGAUAAGCCCUUACGGGGAAAGAUUUAUCGCCGAAAGAUCGGCCCGCGUCUGAUUAGCUAGUUGGUGAGGUAACGGCUCACCAAGGCGACGAUCAGUAGCUGGUCUGAGAGGAUGAUCAGCCACAUUGGGACUGAGACACGGCCCAAACUCCUACGGGAGGCAGCAGUGGGGAAUAUUGGACAAUGGGCGCAAGCCUGAUCCAGCCAUGCCGCGUGAGUGAUGAAGGCCCUAGGGUUGUAAAGCUCUUUUAACGGGGAGAUAAUGACGGUACCCGUAGAAUAAGCCCCGGCUAACUUCGUGCCAGCAGCCGC